rnacentral:lncRNA from 1 species
ACACAUCCAAAAUUAGUUCGACGACUUCGUCUUCCUCCUUUUCCUCGAAGAAAUCCCAACCGUUUCACCUCUUCUCCUCUGUAACAUUAAAAUUGUGACUCAUAAAGCUUUAUCAUUUAGUGCAAUCACUAUAUAAUCUACCUCUUCACAUCCAAUUUUGCUGAGGAGAAGAAGAACUACAACGUAGAAUCUAUAUUUCCCCGGUCAUGCCAAUGUCAUCAACUCUGGAUCAAGGUGGCUCUCAUCUCUCCCCC